UCCCAGAACCGUGCACUAACUGACAAUUCUGAGAGGAAUCAAUGGUUUUUAAGAGCACAUGAAGCAGGAAAGAAAAAGUGGUCUUUAAAGCAGAAUCCCCAUCUUUAUCCACCUCUGCACAUCACACCUGGGCCUGGCUGCUUAUCCUCAUGAGUCUGUGAACAGUGUUCCUUAAGGUAGAGAGAGAGUGCCAAGCUGUCUAGCGUCACCACAGUUGCCCUUGCUGAAAAGUGGUCCAGCUCUGAAGCACAUCAAGGAGAAGGUGGAAGACUGUGUUGUUUUUCUUUGAACAUCAUCUUAAAAGAUGCCAAGUCACAGAGGCAAGAACAGUAUAGACACAGACAGCAAGGGAUGAGCCUGAGGUGAGCCUGUUACCCUCCUCAGGCGGAGCAGCGUGUUUUCAAGCUUCUCUCUUUGUUCUGUUACUGAGUGAAAUGAGCUCGGUCUCCACCUAUAUUGAAUGAGACAACAGCGAGCACACAGGAAAAUGCUGCUGUGAAAUGUGAAGAUGAUACAUGUUCAGCACUUGCUAAUACUUUCUGAUAAUUUGGCUCAAUGUCUCUUGGCAAGGAAAAUGUGAGCCAGCUUCCUUCCUGUUUUCAGUCCUCCUGCUUUCUCAUUAUCUGAAUCCAGUUAAAAGAAAUCUGCUCUCAUGAUCCACACUACAAAUUCAAACACUAGGAAUGCUGUGUAUUAACAAUGAAAAGAACUAAUGAGCACAGUCUACAUGCACUGGAUCUGAGAGUCGCACAUUAUUGUCUUUGGUCCAUCUGCAUCAGUACCAUCUUGAGGUUCAGCUGCCUUUGAAGCUCCUGUACACUGGAUGGUGAAAUUCUGACAGACGUCCUACAGAUAUUUUGAGGGUGACAUGGUGCAAACUUGUCUCCCUGUCUCUCACCAGCAAGAUCCUACAGGCAAUACUGCCUACAACAUCUCAUGGUCUGCACCAGUGAUCAACCUGACAGUUUGUUACUACUUAAAGGCAGUAAUAAUUUAAUUAUGCAUUUCUUUAUAUUGUGCAUGAUAUUCAUAACAUCUUUAAUUGAGUUGAUCUGAUGUCUUUAUCUCUUUGGAUCAAUAAACCAAUUUUAAUGAACAAUGAUAACCCUUAAGUUGUGUCGUCAAUACAUACUGGUAAAAUUGCAUUUUGGAAACAUCAAAUGUAUGCUCAAAAUAAAAAUUAAAUUGAGGGCUGGUGAGAUGACCCAGCAUGUAAAAACACUAACCAACCUGGGAAAAUGAGUUCAAGCCCCAGAAUUAAUAUAAAGAUACAAAGAUAAAAUUGACUUCAAGAAUUUGUCUCUUGUUU